rnacentral:rRNA from 1 species
UACGUAGGGCGCAAGCGUUAUCCGGAAUUAUUGGGCGUAAAGAGCUCGUAGGCGGUUUGUCGCGUCUGCCGUGAAAGUCCGGGGCUCAACUCCGGAUCUGCGGUGGGUACGGGCAGACUAGAGUGAUGUAGGGGAGACUGGAAUUCCUGGUGUAGCGGUGAAAUGCGCAGAUAUCAGGAGGAACACCGAUGGCGAAGGCAGGUCUCUGGGCCACUACUGACGCUGAGAAGCGAAAGCAUGGGAAGCGAACAGG